CGUUACCUCUACACCUACGGAUGAGAAUGCAAACUGCAGCCCUCUCUAAAAGGAUGGAAAUCCAAAGGAGAAUGGUGUGAAUUUUGUUCCAUAAGGCACCAAUGUGUUUGUGAAGGCAGUCGAUGUUAACUCUAUUGCAUGUUGUCGUGGGUAAAGAUGCAGGAUUCUAGAAAGCCAUUUUACAAUUACUGAUUUUAAGUUGCAAAUAGUGGAUGUAUUGCAAAGCAAUUUGUUUGUUUUUUCCCCUUUUUUUUUUUUUUUUUCUUUUAAUAAGUAUUUUGCAGCAAAUUGAAAGCAACGAGAUAAAAGAUGCGACGAAUGAGCAAGGUUCUUUCCAUGAAGGAACUUGUAUGUGUGUGGCCAAAUUUUGAGUGGCUUCUCUUUUUCUUUUGUUGGCAAUUUUUGCUGAGGCCUAAGGAUUUUGUUUGAAUAUACAUAUAUUUUGUGGAGGGACACAUAUUCAAAAAGAAUUGUAUGAAAUGAUCAAUUGUCAGUUUUUAUUCUAUGCAUAUUCUUGAGAUUUAUGGGAAAAAAA